AGGAGAUAUACAUGACAAUAGGCAGAUCAUAAAUGUUGUUCCCUUAUUGCAUCUUGACAUUUCCCAUCAGCAAAUGGGAAAAUGCAUUUACCUGUGGAAACAACAAUAGAUGCCUAUGGCACCAAAUUUUGCACAUUUAUUCAUUUCCAAGAGUAUAAAGACUCUUCUUCUGGUAGUUUAGGAAUUUGAAGAAAAUUAAAUAAUGGUUCUGAAGAGGGAGAGCUUCAGGUAAGAGUAUCUAUCUCCAAGAACAACAAUGCAGUAUUGCAUGUCACCUAAGGAGUGUU